GUGCUGACCUUGGCAGCACAUAUUCUAACAUUGGAACUAUACAGAGAAGAUUAGCAUGGCCCCUGAGUAAGGAUGACACCUUAUAUUUAGCAGUGGGAGAGCAACCAU